GCCAGUUUGUUUCCAGCGCCGCCACUCCUAUUCUUGAGCCGCUCCUUCCAUUUUCCCCUGUUCCAGCAGCAGCGCCGCCACCCUUCCUGCAUCGCUGCUCAGAUCAUCUCCGCUGGCCGCCCUUCCUGCUCGCUUGUUCCUAGCGACCGUGCCAUCGCCGGUCAGUCCUCCCCUUCCAAGUGUUGGUCUGCUGGUCAAGCAAGGGAGGGGAACGGGAGGAAUUAGAGAAGAAGCAAGGGUUCCAUCAGGUUUGCAGAGUUCUAGUAGCGAGCGCGUGGCGUCGGGUUAUCACCAUGGUUAAGGCAAGUGCAUGAUGAACUUGUUUGUUGGCAAGUUGCUUUGUCCGAUGUUUAUGAUAUUCAAGUCCAUGAUUUGUUCAUAUUUCAUGAUUCAAGUUUCGAGUUAUUCCUUUAAAUUCCAUUCAUGUUUCGGUGGAUUCGGAUGUGCAAUUUGGUUCUUUUAUUCAUGUUCCUGUGAGUAAGUGCUGGCCCCACUUGCUCGGCUUUACCGGUAAAUGCUAAGGAUGUUUCAAGUUGUGUCCGUUUUAGACGGAAACUACUUUUUCACUAGUUUCAUUCAUUCGUGUCUCCUGGAAUGUUGUUGCUAUGUUCUUUCCAGUUCUAAUUGUGCUUGCUGAGUAUUAUUACUCACACUUGUGUUUAUUUGGUUUUUUAGGAACCAAAUGCGUGUGGCAUGCAUGGGAAGUGGGAGUAGCAUAUUCUGCAAGAACACACAUUUUCUUUUAGACAUGCUUAGUCUAUCUUCAUUAAUUCUUAGAGCUGUUGGGACGUCUUAUGGUUGGUUGGGAUAACUUAUUUUGCUGUUGGGAUUGGAUGUGAUGUUUAUUCUUCAUUCGUAUGUUAAUUCGAUAUCUUGUGUUAUAAACUGCUUGUCCGGUACGUCCUAUUUAUAGGGGAAACUUUGCCGAAAUUUUGUAUUA